rnacentral:rRNA from 1 species
GAGUUGAUCGUGGCUCAGAUUGAACGCUGGCGGCAUGCCUUACACAUGCAAGUCGAACGGCAGCAUGAUCUAGCUUGCUAGAUUGAUGGGGAGUGGCGAACGGGUGAGUAAUACAUCGGAACGUGCCCUGUAGUGGGGAUAACUAGUCGAAAGAUUAGCUAAUACCGCAUACGACCUGAGGGUGAAAGUGGGGGACCGCAAGGCCUCACGCUAAUAGGAGCGGCCGAUGUCUGAUUAGCUAG